rnacentral:rRNA from 1 species
AUUGAACGCUGGCGGCAUGCCUUACACAUGCAAGUCGAACGGCAGCGGGGGAGAAGCUUGCUUUUCCUGCCGGCGAGUGGCGAACGGGUGAGUAAUACAUCGGAACAUGCCCUGUAGUGGGGGAUAACUAGUCGAAAGAUUAGCUAAUACCGCAUACGACCUGAGGGUGAAAGUGGGGGACCGCAAGGCCUCAUGCUAUAGGAGCGGCCGAUGACUGAUUAGCUAGUUGGUGGGGUAAAGGCCUACCAAGGCGACGAUCAGUAGCUGGUCUGAGAGGACGAUCAGCCACACUGGGACUGAGACACGGCCCAGACUCCUACGGGAGGCAGCAGUGGGGAAUUUUGGACAAUGGGCGAAAGCCUGAUCCAGUAAUGCCGCGUGUGUGAAGAAGGCCUUCGGGUUGUAAAGCACUUUUGUCCGGAAAGAAAUGGCUCUGGUUAAUACCUGGGGUCGAUGACGGUACCGGAAGAAUAAGGACCGGCUAACUACGUGCCAGCCGCCGCCGUAA